rnacentral:rRNA from 1 species
CACGUAGGGCGCAAGCGUUGUCCGGAAUUAUUGGGCGUAAAGAGCUCGUAGGCGGUCUGUUGCGUCCGCUGUGAAAACUCGGGGCUUAACCCCGAGCCUGCAGUGGAUACGGGCAGACUAGAGGUAGGUAGGGGAGAAUGGAAUUCCCGGUGUAGCGGUGAAAUGCGCAGAUAUCGGGAGGAACACCGGUGGCGAAGGCGGUUCUC